rnacentral:tRNA from 1 species
GCGGGUUUAGCUUAACGGAAAAGCGCUAAGUCUUCCGAAUUUAGAGAUAGGGGUUCGACUUCCCCUAAUCCGCU